GACCUGAUGCACCUGGUGUAACGAGCCG
rnacentral:sRNA from 1 species